GACGAACGCUGGCGGCGUGCUUAACACAUGCAAGUCGAACGGAAAGGCCCCUUUGGGGGUCCUCGAGUGGCGCACGGGUGAGUAACACGUGAGUAACCUGCCCUUGACUUCGGGAUAACUUCAGGAAACUGGGGCUAAUACCGGAUAGGAAUCCUUGCUGCAUGGUGGGGGUUGGAAAGCUUCGGCGGUUUUGGAUGGACUCGCGGCUUAUCAGCUUGUUGGUGGGGUAGUGGCUUACCAAGGCUUUGACGGGUAGCCGGCCUGAGAGGGCGACCGGCCACAUUGGGACUGAGAUACGGCCCAGACUCCUACGGGAGGCAGCAGUGGGGAAUAUUGCACAAUGGGCGGAAGCCUGAUGCAGCAACGCCGCGUGCGGGAUGACGGCCUUCGGGUUGUAAACCGCUUUCAGCAGGGGCGAAGCUUGUGGUGACGGUACCUGCAGAAUAAGCACCGGCUAACUACGUG
rnacentral:rRNA from 1 species